GUUCGGCCGGAGGGCGGCCAUUUUGUGUCUCGCUGAGGAGAAGAGUGCGCCGGAGGACCCGGAGGUCGAGCUUCUCGUCGCUUUAAUAGUUGUCGUUUUUCCUUAGUUAAGCAGCCGCCGCCGCCGCCAUGGGACGGAAGAAGAAGAAGCAGUUGAAGCCUUGGUGCUGGUAUUGUAAUAGGGAUUUUGAUGAUGAGAAAAUUCUUAUUCAGCACCAAAAAGCAAAACAUUUUAAAUGCCAUAUAUGUCAUAAGAAACUGUAUACUGGACCUGGCUUAGCUAUACACUGUAUGCAGGUACAUAAAGAAACAAUAGAUGCUGUUCCAAAUGCUAUACCUGGAAGAACUGACAUUGAACUGGAAAUCUAUGGUAUGGAAGGCAUUCCUGAAAAAGACAUGGAUGAAAGAAGAAGGCUACUUGAACAAAAAACUCAAGCAGAAAGCCAGAAAAAGAAACAACAAGAUGAUUCUGAUGAAUAUGAUGACGAUGAAUCUUCGGCUUCAACCUCAUUUCAAGCGCAGCCUGUGCAACCCCAGCAGGGAUAUAUACCACCAAUGGCACAGCCGGGUUUACCUCCUGUGCCAGGUGCACCAGGAAUCCCUCCAGGUAUACCACCAUUAAUGGCAGGUGUUCCACCAAUGAUGCCUGGAAUGCCUCCAGUGAUGCCUGGAAUGCCACCUGGGAUGAUGCCAAUGGGUGGCAUGAUGCCUCCAGGACCAGGAAUCCCCCCUCUCAUGCCUGGUAUGCCACCAGGUAGGUCAGGAAUGACGAAUCCAUACUGUGGUAUGCCACCACCUGUUGGUCCUCGUCCCGGUAUGCCUCCAAUGACACAAGCACAGCCUGUGAAUGCUCAAGGUGUACUUAACAGACCUCCCGCUCCUGUUGUUGCAGCACCAACUCCUCAGCCUCCCGUUACUAAACCACUUUUUCCCAGUGCAGGACAAAUGGGGACACCUGUCACAAGCUCAAGUACAACUGCAUCCAAUUCAGAACUGUCAGCACCUUCUAAAGCUCUGUUUCCUAGCACAGCACAAGCUCAGUCAGCUGUUCCAGGGCCGGUUGGUACAGAUUUCAAACCAUUGAAUAAUGCACCUGCAACUACCACCGAACCCCCAAAAGCUACAUUCCCUGCUUACACACAAUCUACAGCUUCAACCACUAGUACAACAAACAGUACUGCAGCUAAGCCAGCUACUUCUAUAACAAGUAAGCCUGCUACCCUUACGACAACCAGUGCAACCAGUAAGUUGAUCCAUCCAGAUGAGGAUAUAUCACUGGAAGAAAGAAGAGCGCAGUUGCCUAAAUAUCAGCGUAACCUCCCUCGACCUGGGCAGGCAUCCAUGGGCAAUCCACCAGUUGGACCAAUGGGAGGUAUGAUGCCACCACAGCCGGGAAUGCCCCCCCAGCAACAAGGAAUGAGACCUCCAAUGCCACCCCAUGGUCAGUAUGGUGCUCAUCACCAGGGCAUGCCAGGAUACCUUCCUGGUGCAAUGCCUCCAUAUGGUCAAGGGCCCCCAAUGGUGCCUCCUUAUCAAGGUGGACCUCCUCGACCGCCAAUGGGAAUGAGACCGCCUGUAAUGUCGCAAGGUGGCCGCUACUGAUGCUACUGCAAACGCUCUAAUAGGUUUUUAGAAGUGAAGUAUAGUAAAUAUGGUUCGUUAAAUUGUGAAGGCGCUGGAAAUACAUGAACGUACCAUCUUAAAGCCCUGCCAUAGGACAGGCUGAGGCAGAGUCUCAGUGUUGCCCUGUUCAGUCUGAGGCAAGUGGGAUUUAUUUUAUUCAUUCUAGGGGCUUUCACAGCUUUAUAGCUGUUGGAUAUUCAUGUCCCCAAACUUGCAGCAAGUUUGGUGAAGGCUCCUAUCUUUAAUUUAAUUUAGGAUUUUUAUAAUCUUUUGAUGGGCUCUAUAUUAAUAUUGAUACUCUGGCUUUAGGGCUUAAAUUUACUGUUGUUAGCAGUCAGAAAUCUUAAAAUGAGUCAAAACAUUUCCUGUUCAAUUGUUAAUCCCUCCAUCACCUUACCCUCUGAAACUUGGUGUAGCGAUGCCAUCUCUUAACAAUGAGAUGACUGCCUUUGAAAUGGUGCUGUGAAUUUUAAAAGUCCAGGAGUUUUGUUGGCUGUGUUUAGUAUUGUUAAGAAAAUGCCUGUGUUGAAAUCAGUUUUUCUCCACUGAUACACACUUCUGCAGUUGGGGGUCAAUGAUAUCAACUUGACCAAAAUUUACCUGAAACAGUUACCUUAUCAUUAAAUACGUUAUCUAUCAUAAAUUAAUAUUAAUGUAGAGCCCACAGAGUGGAGAAAAAUGCAGUUGUGAGUUUCAUAAGAUGAACAAGUGAGAUAAAUGUUUAGUAGGAAACAUGAUUCUUUCAACAGCCUUACUUUAAAGGUAAACUUGCCAUAUUUAUGUGCACUGGAACAUAAAUGAGCAUAGACAUUUAGGGAUUCCUAGUGUAAGCAAUUUUCCAUAUAUUAUCCACAGAACAUAAAACAAACAUUUAGGGGUUUUGGUGCCAUUUGAAUCCUCCCUUAGAAAUUUUUUUGCUAGACUCAUGUGAAAACACAUGCGUUACUUUAAAAUAAAGAUUUAAAAUUCUGAGGAAAGCUGCUGAUGAAAGAUUUCCAAGAAUACUUGAGAAUCUACUUCUAUCAGCAGCUCUUGCAACAAAUCUAGUUUUUGUUUGAGUUUGAAGCUUUCACAUGGCACCUAGAUUUUCUGGGUGGUCCCUUCAGUUUGCACUCGCAGAUCCUCAAACUGCUUCUUAAACUCUUACUUAGUUUUUAAGAGUUUGGGAAUUUGGUGUGAGAGGCUGUUUCCCCUUAAUUCAAGGGAUAGUCCUCCAUAAAUUGUUGGGCUCCAAAUCUCAUCAGCACCCAGCUACUAUUGUCAGUGGUCAAGGCUUGCAUGAGUUUUAAUCCAGCAUCAUUUGGAGGGCUAAAAGUUCUCCAUCCCUGCCUUACACAGUCCUCUCACCCAAUCCUCAAAGUGCUUUUCCAAAUUCAAGUGUUGAUUGCUUUUCUGUGGCAUCUACUAGCUCUGGCUGUAACUCAUGUUUUCAUGGUUGCAGUUUAAAAACUCUUACUUAGAAUUACCUCUGUCGUAAUACCUAAGCAAUACAACCAGCUGCCUGUUACUUCUCUCACAUGCAUGCAGAACCCUCUGCAAGCUUCUAAUUUUCUCCAGAAAUUGUAAACCAUAAUGUUUGGAAAGUUCACUGUGACUACCUCACAUCUGAACAUAAGCUGCAUUCAAAUCCUCAAUUCAGUGUAUUGUCAUUGUGUGUGACAUGACUUGACAGUUAAUGUUGAAGAUGGACUCCGCACUGAAGAUGGAAAAUAGCAAUCAGCGUUUCUUCUACAAUGUCCUCUGCUUUUGAGAUCUGCUUUUUUCAGUACCCCCCGUCAAUAGCCAAUUUAUUGAAACAUGCUUUGUUUGGAGGGACUUGAAACAGAAGGGUUGUAUUCAUGGCUUAUGUUAUCUUUUUGAGUAUCCACAAGAAAAUAGCUUGGGUGUUAGAAUGCCUUUACUGUCACCCUGUAAUAAAAUAGAUUAAAUGAG